UGGUCAAGUUAUUAAGGGUGCAGGGCGGAUGCCUUGGCACUAGGAGCCGAUGAAGGACGUGAUAAGCUGCGAUAAGCUUCGGGGAGUUGCACGUAAACUUUGAUCCGAAGAUUUCCGAAUGAGGAAACUCACUUAGAGUAAUGUCUAAGUAUCAUUAAGUGAAUACAUAGCUUAAUGAGGGGAACUCAGGGAACUGAAACAUCUAAGUACCUGAAGGAAGAGAAAGAAAUUCGAUUCCGUAAGUAGCGGCGAGCGAACGCGGAUUAGCCCAAACCAAUAAAGUUUUCUUUAUUGGGGUUGCGGACAUAUCAUAACGAAGAGGUAUCGUAAUUGAAGAGGUUUGGAAAGACCCACCACAGAAGGUAAUAGUCCUGUAUGUUAAACGAGAAGACUUUAGAUAUGAUCCAGAGUACCACGGGACACGUGAAACCCUGUGGGAAGCAGGAGGGACCACCCUCCAAGGCUAAAUACUACCUAGUGACCGAUAGCGUAUAGUACCGUGAGGGAAAGGUGAAAAGAACCCCGGGAGGGGGAGUGAAAUAGAACCUGAAACCCUGCACUUACAAGCUGUGGAAGCACAUUUCUUGUGUGACCGCGUACUUUUUUGUAGAACGGGCCAACGAGUUACGUUAAGUAGCAAGGUUAAGCACUUAAGGUGUGGAGCCGUAGCGAAAGCGAGUUUUAACUGAGCGUUCAGUUACUUGACGUAGACCCGAAACCGGGCGACCUACCCAUGAGCAGGAUGAAGCGAAAGUAAAAUUUCGUGGAGGUCCGAACCCACGAGCGUUGAAAAGCUCGGGGAUGACUUGUGGGUAGCGGUGAAAUUCCAAUCGAGCCCGGAGAUAGCUGGUUCUCCCCGAAAUAGCUUUAGGGCUAGCCUCAAGGUGAGAGAUACGGAGGUAGAGCACUGAAUGUCCUAGGGGGUAUUGCACCUACCGAAGACUAUCAAACUCCGAAUGCCGUCAUCUUAUACUUGGGAGUCAGACUGUGGGUGAUAAGAUUCAUAGUCGAAAGGGCAACAGCCCAGAUCGUCAGCUAAGGUCCCUAAAUGUAAGUUAAGUGGUAAAGGAUGUGGGAUUGCACAGACAACCAGGAUGUUGGCUUAGAAGCAGCCACUCAUUCAAAGAGUGCGUAAUAGCUCACUGGUCGAGUGAUCCUGCGCCGAAGAUUUCCGGGGCUAAAACUUACUACCGAAGCUACGGCAUCAGUAAUGAUGGGUAGGGGAGCUUCCCAUACGGGUUGAAGCAUGACCGUAAGGACAUGUGGACAGUAUGGGAGUGAGAAUGUUGGCAUGAGUAGCGAGAUGUGGGUGAGAAUCCCACAGGCCGUAAACCCAAGGUUUCCAGGGGAAGGUUCGUCCGCCCUGGGUUAGUCGGGACCUAAGCUGAGGCCGAAAGGCGUAGGUGAUGGACAACAGGUUGAUAUUCCUGUACUACCGAUAACCGUUUGAGAGAAGGGAUGACACAGUAGGAUAAGCUAAGCACACUGUUGGUUAUGUGUGCCCAAGCAUUGAGGCAGUCAAAGUAGGCAAAUCCGCUUUGAUAAUGCUGGGAUGUGAUGGGGAGCGAAAUUUAGUAGCGAAGUAGCUGAUUUCACACUGUCAAGAAAAGUCUCUAUCGAGGUUAAAGGUACCCGUACCGCAAACCGACACAGGUGGGUGAGGAGAGUAUCCUAAGGCCAGCGAGAGAACUGUUGUUAAGGAACUCGGCAAAAUGACCCCGUAACUUAGGGAUAAGGGGUGCCACCAUCAGGUGGCCGCAGAGAAUAGGCCCAAGCGACUGUUUACCAAAAACAUAGGUUUCUGCUAAGUCGCAAGACGAUGUAUAGGAGCUGACGCCUGCCCGGUGCUGGAAGGUUAAGGGGAUCUGUUAGAGCAAUCGAAGCAGUGAACUUAAGCCCCAGUAAACGGCGGCCGUAACUAUAACGGUCCUAAGGUAGCGAAAUUCCUUGUCGGGUAAGUUCCGACCCGCACGAAAGGCGUAACGAUUUGGGCACUGUCUCAACAACAGACUCGGUGAAAUUGUAAUUCCGGUGAAGAUGCCGGAUACCUGCGACAGGACGGAAAGACCCCAUGGAGCUUUACUGUAGCUUGACAUUGGGUCUUGGUACUACAUGUACAGGAUAGGUGGGAGGCUUUGAAACCAGGACGCCAGUUUUGGCGGAGCCAUCCUUGGGAUACCACCCUUGUAGUACUGGGACUCUAACCAUAGGCCAUGAAUCUGGUCUUGGGACACUGUCAGGUGGGCAGUUUGACUGGGGCGGUCGCCUCCCAAAAGGUAACGGAGGCGCUCAAAGGUUCUCUCAGUACGGUCGGAAAUCGUACGUAGAGUGUAAAGGCAAAAGAGAGCUUGAUUGCAAGACAUACAGGUCGAGCAAGGAUGAAAAUCGGACUUAGUGAUCCGGUGGUUCUGCGUGGAAGGGCCAUCGCUCAACGGAUAAAAGCUACCCUGGGGAUAACAGGCUUAUCUCCCCCAAGAGUCCACAUCGACGGGGAGGUUUGGCACCUCGAUGUCGGCUCAUCACAUCCUGGGGCUGUAGUAGGUCCCAAGGGUUGGGCUGUUCGCCCAUUAAAGUGGUACGCGAGCUGGGUUCAGAACGUCGUGAGACAGUUCGGUCCCUAUCCGUCGCAGGCGUAGGAAAUUUGAGAAGACCUGUCCUUAGUACGAGAGGACCGGGAUGGACGUACCUCUGGUGUACCAGUUGUCCUGCCAAGGGCAUGGCUGGGUAGCUAUGUACGGAAUGGAUAAGCGCUGAAAGCAUCUAAGCGCGAAGCCAACUUCAAGAUAAGAUUUCCCACCGCAAGGGUAAGACCCCAGAAAGACUAUCUGGUUGAUAGGUCGAAGGUGUAAGUGCAGCAAUGUAUUUAGCUUAUCGAUACUAAUAGGUCGAGGACUUGACCAAU
rnacentral:rRNA from 1 species